rnacentral:rRNA from 1 species
AGCAGCCGCGGUAAUUCCAGCUCCAAUAGCGUAUAUUAAAGUUGUUGCAGUUAAAAGGCUCGUAGUUGAAUUUCGGAAUCAAUAUGUUGGUCGUGCCUUGGUACGUACUAAUUUAUUGGUUUCUUCCUUCUGACGAACCAUGAUGUCAUUAAUUUGGUGUCUUGGGGAAUCAGGACUGUUACUUUGAAAAAAUUAGAGUGUUUAAAGCAGGCUCACGCUUGAAUACAUUAGCAUGGAAUAAUGAAAUAGGACGUUUGAUUCUAUUUUGUUGGUUUCUAGGAUCGACGUAAUGAUUAAUAGGGAUAGUUGGGGGCAUUAGUAUUCAAUUGUCGGAGGUGAAAUUCUUGGAUUUAUUGAAGACUAACUACUGCGAAAGCAUUUGCCAAGGAUGUUUUCAUUAAUCAAGAACGAAAGUUAGGGGAUCGAAGACGAUCAGAUACCGUCGUAGUCUUAACCAUAAACUAUGCCGACUAGGGAUCGGAUGAUGUUAAUUUUUAAUGACUCAUUCGGCGCCUUACGG